GGCUCAAUUUCUGUUCCAUGUUUAAUCGUUAUAGCUGGUGUCAUAUUUAUGUGUUUAUUUUAGUAUUUUUACCCUUUACUGACAAGUUGUAAACAUGUCUGGCCCGUUUUGAAAAAUAUCCGUGUGCAACGACGAAGAGAGGGGAUGACAUCUACAACAAGUAUCAUUUUUACGCUACCGUUAGUGUCAAUAAAUUAGUCUUUUAAUUAGAUUUAAUCAUUUGUAAUAUCUAAUUUCGUAGCCAAGUUAGGGUCAUAUGUAUGUGGGGUACCCAUAUUCCUCGGACAAUUUCUACUCCUAGCCAAUAUAUUUCCUUUUUACCCAAAAAUUUCUCCUCUCACUUCAUACUUCCAUCUCCUGGCUCCAAGACAUUAAAUGAAAAGUUUUCCAAGAUAACCCUUAUCUCUGAUCCCUCAUUCCCCUGUCUCCUUGCCCCUGUCCACCCCCUCAAUUAAGGUCCUCAAGGGCUUUGAUUAACUUGUUUGUUUUCUUGAGAAUACGACAUAAUUGGCCAUAUGUAUCCAACCAUACAUUUGUAAAUGCCCUCAAAUUUUUUUUUUUAAGAAAUGUUUUUUUUUUAUAUAAAAUUUAUAUAGCAAAAAAAUGCAGGUGACAAAUACUUUUGGCCAGGUACUUUAUUUUGAGUUUAAAAAAAUCAUUAUUGUUUUGUGAAUAGUAUAUUUUAAUAAAUACAAAAUUUGUGUAUCCUAUAUUCCAAACAGGGUACAAAAAGCCUCAGCAUAAUUGUUUCAUGAGGACUGAGCUGCAUGCAUUUUCAAAAUUGAAGGCAGCCGAACAGCAAGAAGUCUUUAUUCAACCUAUAGAAACAAAAUCACUAUUUACACUAGUUGUGCAUGUAAUUACAUUUUGUUUGCUCAUUAUUGAUCACCACAAAUUCUUCCUUAUUUUUACACCAUAGCAGCAUGGGCAUUAAGUUUUACCCUUGCAUUGUCAGUCUUAUCAAACUUGCAUGUACGUCCCAAAUUUGGUUUGUGUUCUCUAACUUCAGUUUGCCUCUACCAAUGUUAUUAAACUAAUACACAAUUAAUGCAUAUAUAUCCUUGUUACCAACAAAUACACAUGAAGUUUGAAUUUUUGGUUGGGUAGCUUUUACUUUUCUAGAGUUAUGCCCCUUUACAAAUUGAAAAAUUGCUAAAUUUUUGUUCCUUUCUUUAACACAAGUUUGCUCCAUCUAAAUGUUCUGAAACUUAUAUGCAAUGCUUACUACAACAAAAUUCAGAUCAAGUCCAAAUUUGGGUGGUGUCACUCUUUCCAUUCUUUAUAUGCAAGCGGCUGCUCAUCUGUGUCCCAUGGACACAUUCCCCAUUAUGAAUUAGUCUACAUCUAUAUGCUUUUGAAUGUCAAUAAUUGUUGAUUUUCUGACAGAAUUACUCUGAUAUUUAAUUUCAGGUUGCAAGUACAUUUGUACAUGUACAUGCAAAUGGAAGGAGUGAUCUUGGAAUGUUCAACUUUACUUGGAAACUAUUGGCAAAGUACUGACAGAAUUUUAUGAGAAGCCAGUUUCAUCUAGUCUUGCAACCGGAAACUAUGUGUAAAGUGCUGAAACUUAAGAACAACAUUCUACAUGUAUA
rnacentral:lncRNA from 1 species